CAAAGGAAGGCAUCAGAGAUUUCAUCCAACAAUGACCUGACGACUUCUACAUCCCCAGAGGCCGGCAAGGAAGCUGAUAUCACAUCGGAGAUGGGUCCAGAAUCCCCCCAGGAUUCAAUCACUCCAGAGACCGGCAAGGAAACUGAGAUCACAUCUGAUGUGGUUGAGAAGUCUGACGAGAACUCAACGACUCCUGCUUCCCCGCCAGCAGCCAGGAAACAGGCGA